CCUACGGGCGGCAGCAGUAGGGGAUAUUGCUCAAUGGGGGAAACCCUGAAGCAGCGACGCCGCGUGGGGGAUGAAGGUUUUAGGAUUGUAAACUCCUGUUGUGAGAGAAGAUAAUGACGGUAUCUCACGAAUAAGCACCGGCUAACUCCGUGCCAGCAGCCGCGGUAAUACGGAGGGUGCAAGCGUUACCCGGAAUCACUGGGCGUAAAGAGUGCGCAGGCGGGGUUGUAAGUCAGAUGUGAAAUCCUGUAGCUUAACUACAGAACUGCAUUUGAAACUGCGAGGCUAGAGUGUGGGAGAGGCAGGUGGAAUUCUUGGUGUAGGGGUAAAAUGCGUAGAUAUCAAGAGGAAUACUGAUUGCGAAGGCGACCUACUGGAACAUUACUGACGCUCAUGCACGAAAGCGUGGGGAGCAAACAGGAUUAGAUACCCGAGUAGUC
rnacentral:rRNA from 1 species